rnacentral:rRNA from 1 species
CGUAAUCAUUUGUCUUUUAAAUGAAGACCAGUAUGAAUGGCAUAACGAGGGCCAAGCUGUCUCCUUUUUCCAGUCAAUGAAAUUGAUCCCCCUGUGCAGAAGCAGGGACACAAACAUAAGACGAGAAGACCCUAUGGAGCUUAAGACACAAGACAGUUCAUGUUAAAAAACCAUAUUAAUGGAAAGAACCAAAUGACCCCCGUCCUUUUGUCUUUGGUUGGGGCGACCAUGGAGUAACAAAAAACCCCCAUGUGGAACAGGGCCCAGGCCCUUAAAGCUAGAGCCACAGCUCUAACAAACAGAACAUCUGACCUUCAAGAUCCGGCAAGACCGAUCAACGGACCGAGUUACCCUAGGGAUAACAGCGCAAUCCCCUUUUAGAGCCCAUAUCGACAAGGGGGUUUACGACCUCGAUGUUGGAUCAGGACACCCUAAUGGUGCAGCCGCUAUUAAGGGUUCGUUUGUUCAACGAUU